ensembl:miRNA mir128-2 microRNA 128-2
UCUGCUCAUGGGUCUGUCAGUAGUAGGACAGGGGGCCGUUUCUACUGUCAGAGAUGCUGCCACUCGUCUCACAGUGAACCGGUCUCUUUUCCUGCUAUUCACUUCUGCAAUAAUAUGAGCAGA